rnacentral:rRNA from 1 species
AAUAGAUACCCAGGUAGUCCACGCCCUAAACGAUGCGAACUGGAUGUUGGGUUCAACUUGGAACCCAGUAUCGAAGCUAACGCGUUAAGUUCGCCGCCUGGGGAGUACGGUCGCAAGACUGAAACUCAAAGGAAUUGACGGGGGCCCGCACAAGCGGUGGAGUAUGUGGUUUAAUUCGAUGCAACGCGAAGAACCUUACCUGGUCUUGACAUCCACGGAACUUUCCAGAGAUGGAUUGGUGCCUUCGGGAACCGUGAGACAGGUGCUGCAUGGCUGUCGUCAGCUCGUGUCGUGAGAUGUUGGGUUAAGUCCCGCAACGAGCGCAACCCUUGUCCUUAGUUGCCAGCACGUAAUGGUGGGAACUCUAAGGAGACCGCCGGUGACAAACCGGAGGAGGUGGGAUGACGUCAAGUCAUCAUGGCCCUUACGACCAGGGCUACACACGUACUACAAUGGUGGGGACAGAGGGCUGCAAUCCCGCGAGGGUGAGCCAAUCCCAGAAACCCCAUCUCAGUCCGGAUCGGAGUCUGCAACUCGACUCCG